GAUGAACGCUGGCGGCGUGCCUAAUACAUGCAAGUCGAGCGAACGGACGAGAAGCUUGCUUCUCUGAUGUUAGCGGCGGACGGGUGAGUAACACGUGGAUAACCUACCUAUAAGACUGGGAUAACUUCGGGAAACCGGAGCUAAUACCGGAUAAUAUUUUGAACCGCAUGGUUCAAAAGUGAAAGACGGUCUUGCUGUCACUUAUAGAUGGAUCCGCGCUGCAUUAGCUAGUUGGUAAGGUAACGGCUUACCAAGGCAACGAUGCAUAGCCGACCUGAGAGGGUGAUCGGCCACACUGGAACUGAGACACGGUCCAGACUCCUACGGGAGGCAGCAGUAGGGAAUCUUCCGCAAUGGGCGAAAGCCUGACGGAGCAACGCCGCGUGAGUGAUGAAGGUCUUCGGAUCGUAAAACUCUGUUAUUAGGGAAGAACAUAUGUGUAAGUAACUGUGCACAUCUUGACGGUACCUAAUCAGAAAGCCACGGCUAACUACGUGCCAGCAGCCGCGGUAAUACGUAGGUGGCAAGCGUUAUCCGGAAUUAUUGGGCGUAAAGCGCGCGUAGGCGGUUUUUUAAGUCUGAUGUGAAAGCCCACGGCUCAACCGUGGAGGGUCAUUGGAAACUGGAAAACUUGAGUGCAGAAGAGGAAAGUGGAAUUCCAUGUGUAGCGGUGAAAUGCGCAGAGAUAUGGAGGAACACCAGUGGCGAAGGCGACUUUCUGGUCUGUAACUGACGCUGAUGUGCGAAAGCGUGGGGAUCAAACAGGAUUAGAUACCCUGGUAGUCCACGCCGUAAACGAUGAGUGCUAAGUGUUAGGGGGUUUCCGCCCCUUAGUGCUGCAGCUAACGCAUUAAGCACUCCGCCUGGGGAGUACGACCGCAAGGUUGAAACUCAAAGGAAUUGACGGGGACCCGCACAAGCGGUGGAGCAUGUGGUUUAAUUCGAAGCAACGCGAAGAACCUUACCAAAUCUUGACAUCCUUUGACAACUCUAGAGAUAGAGCCUUCCCCUUCGGGGGGGCAAAGUGACAGGUGGUGCAUGGUCGUCGUCAGCUCGUGUCGUGAGAUGUUGGGUUAAGUCCCGCAACGAGCGCAACCCUUAAGCUUAGUUGCCAUCAUUAAGUUGGGCACUCUAAGUUGACUGCCGGUGACAAACCGGAGGAAGGUGGGGAUGACGUCAAAUCAUCAUGCCCCUUAUGAUUUGGGCUACACACGUGCUACAAUGGACAAUACAAAGGGCAGCGAAACCGCGAGGUCAAGCAAAUCCCAUAAAGUUGUUCUCAGUUCGGAUUGUAGUCUGCAACUCGACUACAUGAAGCUGGAAUCGCUAGUAAUCGUAGAUCAGCAUGCUACGGUGAAUACGUUCCCGGGUCU
rnacentral:rRNA from 1 species